AGUGGGAUAGCUGGGUCAAAUGGUGGUUCCAUUCCAAGUUUUCUGAGGAAUCUCUACACUACUUUCCAAAGUGGUUGUACCAAUUUGCAGUCUCCCCAGAAAU
rnacentral:pre_miRNA from 1 species